rnacentral:rRNA from 1 species
UACAUAGGGUGCAAGCGUUGUCCGGAAUUAUUGGGCGUAAAGAGCUCGUAGGCGGUUUGUUGCGUCGGCUGUGAAAUCCCGAGGCUCAACCUCGGGUCUGCAGUCGAUACGAGCAAACUAGAGUGUUGCAGGGGAGACUGGAAUUCCUGGUGUAGCGGUGAAAUGACGCAGAUAUCAGGAAGAACACCCGUGGCGAAAGCGGCUCUCUGGAACGGUACUGACGCUGAGACGCGAAAGCGUGGGGAGCGAACAGG